rfam:Oryza punctata chromosome 5, whole genome shotgun sequence.
UUUAAACACAACCAUGAGUUUCCGUGUAUAACUUUAAUUGUACAUCUUAUUUGAAUUUUUUUAUGAUUAGUGUUUUUAUUAUUAUUAGAUGAUAAAACAUGAAUAGUACUUUAUGUGUGAUUUAUGUUUUUUAAUUUUUUAAAAAAAUUAUCAAAUAAAAUGAAUGAUUAAAAUUAAUUGCACACGGAAACUCAUGGUUACGUUUAAA